rnacentral:tRNA from 1 species
GGGCGGGUGGCGGAACUGGCAGACGCGCACGGCUUAGGACCGUGUGCCGCGAGGCUUGGGGGUUCAAAUCCCCCCCCGCCCA